rfam:Deinococcus peraridilitoris DSM 19664, complete genome.
UCGGUGAAGAGAUGCAUUGAACCUCGCCCUGUAUUCGGGCACCUUGGGCGGGGGGAGCAAGUGGUGCGACCGGCUUUUCGUCCA